rnacentral:tRNA from 1 species
GGAGGGUUGCCCGAGCGGCCAAAGGGAGCAGACUGUAAAUCUGCCGGCACUGCCUACGUUGGUUCAAAUCCAACACCCUCCA